rnacentral:rRNA from 1 species
UACGUAGGGGGCGAGCGUUGUCCGGAAUUAUUGGGCGUAAAGAGCUCGUAGGCGGUUUGUCGCGUCUGCUGUGAAAACUCGGGGCUCAACUCCGAGCUUGCAGUGGGUACGGGCAGACUAGAGUGCGGUAGGGGAGACUGGAAUUCCUGGUGUAGCGGUGAAAUGCGCAGAUAUCAGGAGGAACACCGGUGGCGAAGGCGGGUCUCUGGGCCGAAACUGACGCUGAGGAGCGAAAGCGUGGGGAGCAAACAGG